UACAGAGGGUGCUAGCGUUGUUCGGAAUUAUUGGGCGUAAAGGGCGCGUAGGCGGCCCUGUGUGUCGGGUGUGAAAGCCCACCUCUUAAAGGUGGAAUUGCAUUCGAAACUACAGGGCUGGAGUGUCGGAGAGGAUGGCGGAAUUCCUGGUGUAGCGGUGAAAUGCGCAGAUAUCAGGAGGAACACCGGUGGCGAAGGCGGGUCUCUGGGCCGAUACUGACGCUGAGGAGCGAAAGCGUGGGGAGCGAACAGG
rnacentral:rRNA from 1 species